rnacentral:rRNA from 1 species
AUUGAACGCUGGCGGCAGGCCUAACACAUGCAAGUCGAGCGAGCGGCGGACGGGUGAGUAAUGUAUAGGGACCGCCCGAUAGAGGGGGGUAACUACUGGAAAAGGUAGCUUAAUACGGAUACUGUCGGCUAUCCCGAAUGGGAUUAGCUAGUAGGUGAGGUAAUGGCUAACCUAGGCGACGAUCCCUAGCUGGUCUGAGAGGCUGAUCAGCCACACUGGGACUGAGACACGGCCCAGACUCCUACGGAGGCAGCAGUGGGGAAUAUUGCACAAUGGGCGCAAGCCUGAUGCAGCCAGGCCGCGUGUAUGAAGAAGGCCCUAGGGUUGUAAAGUACUUUCAGUCGGGAGGCGUUACCGACAGAAGAAGCACCGGCUAACUCCGUGCCAGCAGCCGCGGUAAUAC